AGUGAACGCUGGCGGUAGGCCUAACACAUGCAAGUCGAACGGCAGCACAGUAAGAGCUUGCUCUUACGGGUGGCGAGUGGCGGACGGGUGAGGAAUACAUCGGAAUCUACUUUUUCGUGGGGGAUAACGUAGGGAAACUUACGCUAAUACCGCAUACGACCUACGGGUGAAAGCAGGGGAUCUUCGGACCUUGCGCGAUUGAAUGAGCCGAUGUCGGAUUAGCUAGUUGGCGGGGUAAAGGCCCACCAAGGCGACGAUCCGUAGCUGGUCUGAGAGGAUGAUCAGCCACACUGGAACUGAGACAGGGUCCAGACUCCUACGGGAGGCAGCAGUGGGGAAUAUUGGACAAUGGGCGAAAGCCUGAUCCAGCCAUACCGCGUGGGUGAAGAAGGCCUUCGGGUUGUAAAGCCCUUUUGUUGGGAAAGAAAAGCAGCAGGUUAAUACCCCGCUGUUCUGACGGUACCCAAAGAAUAAGCACCGGCUAACUUCGUG
rnacentral:rRNA from 1 species